CAAUCUGUGCUCUGGGUUGCUUUCUCACACUUUUGGUGGCGUUUUCUUCCUUUUACCUCUCUUCCUCAGACGAUUCCGCCGCGCUGCCCUCGUGUCUCCACUCAGUGCGCCUGGGCCCAAGCCUGGCCCAAUCGGAUACAGCCCAAGGGAUUGGUUCCUCAGCUGGGGAAGCAGAAAGGGGCGGGGCUUUGUCCCGAAACCUGUGGCUGCUGGCUGACGGAAGUGAGCUGGAGACUCGGAAAAGUUGUCGCAGGAAGUCUGGGGAAAAAGCGCUACCGGGUGAUGGCGGCAAAGGCUAAGGCAGAGGAGGUGCCGGUGGACGGCGCAGAGGAGCAGCAGCCCCCUGCGGCGGCCGAGGAGCUGGCCGCCCAGAAGCGCGAACUGAGACUGCGCAAAUUCCGGGAGCUGCACCUGAAGCGGAAUGAAGCUCGAAAAUUAAAUCACCAGGAAGUUGUGGAGGAAGAUAAAAGACUUAAAUUACCUGCAAAUUGGGAAGCUAAGAAAGCUCAUUUGGAAUGGGAAUUGCAGGAAAAAGAAAAGAAUGUACAGCAAGAGGGGAAGACUAUAAGAAAGUGAAGUUGCUCGAGAUCAGUGCAGAAGAUGCAGAAAAAUGGGAGAGGAAAAAGAGGAGGAAAAACCCCAAUCUGGGAUUUUCAGUGGAGGAGUUCUACCCAACAUCUAACAGUCUUCUUCACGGAACACACGUGCCUUCCACAGAGGAAACUGAUAGGAUGGUCGUAGACUUGGAAAAGCAGGAAGUACUACAAAUGCAGCCUAAAGUUUUAGUAGUGAUUCAUGCUUAAUAACAAAAUUAACUAUAUGGUCUUGAAGUGUAGCAACUGGAUUGAAGUUAAGGAACAUUUGAAUUAUUAGUCUGAAGAAUGGUCCCAUUCACCACCACUUUUAUAUGUGUGUGUUUUUUUUAACAUUUUUAUUGGAGUAUAAGUGCUUUACAAUGUUGUGUUAGUUUCUGCUGUAUAAAAAAGUGAAUCAGCUAUAUGUAUACAUAUAUCCCAUAUCCCCUCCCUCUUGCGUCUCCCUCCCACCCUCGCUCUCCCACCCCUCUAGGUGGUCACAAAGCAUCAAGCUGAUCUCCCUGUGCUAUGCAGCUGCUUCCCACUAGCUAUUUUACAUUUGGUAGUGUAUGUAUUUCAAUGCUACUCUCUCACUUCGUCCCAGCUUACCCUCCCCCCACCCCACCCUCCUCCUCAAGUCCAUUCUCUCCGUCUGUGUCUUUAUUCCUGUCCUGCCCCUAGGUUCAUCAGAACCAUUUUUUUUUAGAUUCCAUAUGUGUUAGCAUACGGUAUUUUUUCUGACUGACUUCACUCUGUAUGACAAACACUAGGUCCAUCCACCUCAAAUAACUCAAAUUAUGUUUCAUUUUAUGGCUGAGUAGAAUUCCAUUUAUAUGUGCCACAUCUUUAUCCAUUCAUCUGUCGAUGGACACUUAUGUUGCUUAUAUGUGUUUUGAAUGGGGUAACUACUAGGCAGAAUCUACAGAGUACGUAUAAAAAUUCUCUCAACGUAAUAUGUGACCACUCAUAUUUCAGCGUGAACCUGGGUAAUUUCCCAAACUUCAGACCAGAUCAUCUGAUGAUACUGUUAAGAUUAAAUUCAAGAAGAAUGCUCAUUGAACAUAUAUCCUUGUAGGAUGCUUUCUAAAGAUAUUGCUUUCAGGCUUAACUAUUAAGAACAAAAAGGAGGGACUUCCCUGGUGGCAAAGUGGUUAAGAAUCCACCUGCCAACAUAGGGGACAUGGGUUCGAUCCCUGCUCCGAGAAUAUCCCACAUGCCGCAGAGCAACUAAGCCCGCGAGCCACAACUACUGAAGCCUGCGGUCCUAGAGCCCAUGCUCUGCAACAAGAGAAGCCACCGCAAUGAGAAGCCCGUGCACCACAAUGAAGAGUAGCCCCUGCUCACUGCAACCAGAGAAAAGGCCACGCACAGCAACGAGGCCCCAACACAAAAAUAAAUAAAUUAAAAAAAAAAAAGGAAUGCCACUUUGAAUUCUGUAUAUUUGUUUCUGUUACAGAAUUGAAAAACGAGACAAAUACAGCCAGAGACGUCCUUAUGAUGAUGCAGAUAUUGACUACAUUAAUGAAAGGAAUGCCAAAUUCAACAAGGCAGAAAGAUUCUAUGGGAAAUAUACAGCUGAAACUAAACAAAACUUGGAAAGAAGAACAGCUGUCUAAUCUCCUUCAGGAACUGUUCUGCCAAAUUGUACCAGUAAAUCAGGACUCUUUCCUUUUAUAAUUUGUAAAGACAUGUUCUACAAAUCUGUGUAUUUUCAUACUUAUAUAUUUAUUAUUCAUUUGUUUUAGAAAAAUGUCUUGUAUUUCUUUGUUUGAAGUGUGUGCUUAACGUGUGCACUCUGCUAGGCUUAAAAUCCUUAGAUACGAACACAAGUCAUCAUCAUGCUGAAAUCUGUCAUACAUUUGACUUGACCUGGAGUUGAACUUGGGAGCUUCAGAGGUGAGUUGCUAAAUUGGCACUAAUUCUUCUUAUAAGCUAUGGUAGGUAGUGAAAGGCAGGCAGUGGUCACUGGAAAUUCAACCUAAUCCCUCCCUGCUCCAAGAGGUCACAGUUAGCAGGUGCUUGCCUGUCCCAUGUUGUAUCCCAUGGCCCAGGUGCAUUUAUGGGGCAAGCAUAGAGGGUGGGAGACUGAUUCUCCAGUAGCAUUUUACAAAUAUGCCAUCCUUCAAAAAGCAAAUAUCCCUUGGAAGAAAUAAGUUAAAACACUUGGUGAAAAUAUUAUUAAAAUACACAUAAUACAAUCUUUUUUUUAAAGGCUAACUGGAAUUCUAACCUUAUUUCAACUGUAACUAAAAAAUUAGGACAUGCGAUUUUAGUAGUAAUUAUGGGAAACAGAGGACAGAAAACCUGAAGUCAGGAGUAUGCCAUGAAAGUGAAGAUUGUGCCAUGUUACGUGAAUAAAAACAUGCCUAGGUUUGAGAUCAGUAUAAGCUGGGCACACUUAUUGAUCAACGAGUAGGAAGCUCCGAUUUAGCUAAUGACGGGUUUAUAAAGAUGGUAAUAUAAAUGCUAAUAAUAAAGGUAUAUUCAGUGUACUGUGAAUAGGGAAAUUUUAACAUUGUGGUACAGUCAUACAACUACAGAAUGAGACAGAUCUAACAUGAAAAGAUGCUCUUACCUAUAUAAAGAGGUUUGUACAGGCAUAGAAAUAAAAUCCAGGAUGUGCACCAUACUAUUUACAGUGAUUGCUCCUGGGAAUGGGAACAGAUGUGGUAAUUUUACUUUUUUUAAAAAAUAAUUUGACACAAAUACACACCCAUGCUGCCCAAUCUUAUCAAGAGUAAUAACAUGCCAGUAGUUUUUUCUUCUCCUGUAUUUUCAAAGAAACGUUUAAUAAUACCUUUCUACUAAGGGAAAAGGAGGGGAGGGAAAAAUUAAUAGGUCUUCAAAGACAUCAUACUGACUUGGGCUUAAAGGACAAAUAGGAUUUCCCCAGAGGAGAAAAGUGCUCGCAAUAGCCAACCAAAAAAACAGAUGUCAGUAUGAUCUGAAGACUACUCUGAAGGUGACUAGGUGGAUGGUAAAAGCCACUAAUUCAAACAGGCAAUACUGUAAUUAGCUCAGUAUGGGAAAGGUUCAUUUUGAAGAGCUGAGGCAAGCUUUGGAAACUAGAGUUCAGAAAUUGAUACUCUUCAGUUAGUAGAUGGUAGUUAAAGACAGAGUGGAGGAAAUUAGCAAAAGAGCUUGUAGAAGGAGUAGGCUAAGGAUAGAAUCCUAACAGUGGGCAAAGGACAAAAAGCCACUGUAGAUAAUGGAAGAGGUCAAAGAAAAGAAGACAAAUGCAUGGAAAUUUCUGCCUGAAUGACAGAAAAAUUUGAGAAAGGACUCCAUGAAGAAAUAGUGAAAAGUGAGCCCGCAUAAGAACAAGUUUUAUUUUGCUAGGUAAGUUUAAUAAGUGCUUCAGCAAAGAAAACCAAAGGACAGCAUGCUGUGGUUGGUUCAGUAAUCAUGGCUUCUCUAGAAAAAAAGCAAAGCAUUACACACCUGAACCUACAAUCUAGGGCUGUGCUUUCCAAAAUGGUAGCCACCCACCAUAUGUCACUAGUGAUUAUCUGAAAUGUGACUGGGGCAAAUUGAGGUGUGCUUUAAGUGUAACAUACACACUGAAUCACAACACCUACCCAAAAAAAGUAAAAUACCACUUUUCUACAUUAUAUGUUUAAAUAUUUUAACAUCUACUGGGGUAAAAAACGAAUUCACCUUUUUACUUUUCAUUGAAGCUCUCCUUUCUAUUGGACAGCACUAAAUCUAGUCUCUUGGUACAAUUUCUCACUGUCAGCGCCUGUUUGCUAUAUUGUCCACAGGUUAUGUAAUGACGUGGUAUCACACCUGGGCAACUGCAUCCCACUUAUGUAAUGACAGGCAGUCUGGGAAUAUGCACAACGAAUUAUCUUCUGUGUUACAAAGCCUAGGAGAGACUGAGCACAGUUGUCCUGGCCACACUAACGACAAGGUCAGGUUAGACAAGGACUGACAGGACUUCAUGGGGUGAUUAUGAAAAAAAAUGGAGAAAGUGUACAUUCUUUUCAGGAUACUAGGUAGUAAAAAGAAAAUGAACUAAUAAAGGGAAAAUAGGCAAGUCUCAAGGCUGAAGGAAAAGACCACUGUAGAAGUGAAAUCUCAGAAGUGGCACAUAUCCAUAGCAACUAGCCAAACCUCUUACAUAAGGUCAUAAUCAAAGCAGGUGCUUUUCUGUUACCAGCUAAGUGAAGGUGAAAAUGAUCUUAGCAUUAUGUCAUCAAUUCAUUGCAAAAGUCUCCCUUACAAGGAAAUCCUUGAGUUCUAUAGCUUUACUAUAGGAAUAGAAAUUAUAUGUCCAGGAAUGUAUAUAUCCAAGUCUAAAUUUGUACAUUUAAAUUUUUCAUAGGGUCAAAUUUAAGAGCAGCUCUUAUGCAAUACAAUGUUCUAUCAUAGAAGUAUUCUAUUAUCUGCACUUUCCAGUAAGUGGUUACUUAAAAUUCAGUUCCUCAGUCAUACUAGCCAACUUCUCAAGUGGUCAAUAGCCACAGUGGCUGGUGGCUGUCUUCAUGGGAAAUGCAGGUAAAAUACUGGACAGCACAGCUUUAGUUAAUACAGUAUUACAUUGCACUUGAGGAUUCUUCACCAUCUUUUUAAAGUCAACUUCUACUUAAAAAUUUAGGACUUAAGCCUGCUCAUCUAUUAUCUAAUUUCUGGGUGUUUGUCUUUUCCCAGGUUUUUUGUCUUGCCUCUAAUAUUCUCCUCAUCCUAUUCUCUAACUUGUUAUCCCUGCCUAUUGGAAGUCUAUUUCAUUAUUUCCCAAACUGAAGAGUCUGUUCAAAAUUAGGGCAAGAUUCCAAGGAGUAGAAAAGAAAAACAUUCAAGCAAUCAAUAGUACCCACCCCCAUCACUAAAAUAAAACCUCAUGCAUGUUUUUGAUCUACUAGGAUUUUUAUUUUUUGCUUAGGUUCUAGCAAGACAUGUUUUGUUGCUAAAGCCUAGCACACAGGCAAAAUAAAUUCAUUAAGCUGG